rnacentral:rRNA from 1 species
CCUACGGGAGGCAGCAGUGGGGAAUAUUGCACAAUGGGGGAAACCCUGAUGCAGCCAUGCCGCGUGUGUGAGGAAGGCCUUCGGGUUGUAAAGCACUUUCAGUUGUGAGGAAGGCGUAUGCGUUAAUAGCGUAUGUGUUUGACGUUAGCAACAGAAGAAGCACCGGCUAACUCCGUGCCAGCAGCCGCGGUAAUACGGAGGGUGCGAGCGUUAAUCGGAAUUACUGGGCGUAAAGCGCAUGCAGGCGGCUUGUUAAGCCAGAUGUGAAAGCCCGGGGCUCAACCUCGGAAUAGCAUUUGGAACUGGCAGGCUAGAGUCUUGUAGAGGGGGGUAGAAUUUCAGGUGUAGCGGUGAAAUGCGUAGAGAUCUGAAGGAAUACCGGUGGCGAAGGCGGCCCCCUGGACAAAGACUGACGCUCAGAUGCGAAAGCGUGGGGAGCAAACAGGAUUAGAUACCCUGGUAGUCCACGCCGUAAACGAUGUCUACUUGGAGGUUGGAACCUUGAGUUCUGGCUUUCGGAGCUAACGCAUUAAGUAGACCGCCUGGGGAGUACGGUCGCAAGAUUAAAACUCAAAUGAAUUGACGGA